UUGGACGGCCACAGCAGUGGGGUUCACCCGGUCCCAUCUCGAACCCGGCAGUUAAGCCCACUCACGUAGGUGUCGCGUACUGUGUUGCGCAAGUGCACGGGAAAGCACCCACGCUGUCCACU
rfam:Thermoplasmatales archaeon BRNA1, complete genome.